GGGGAAUAUUGGACAAUGGGCGGAAGCCUGAUCCAGCAACGCCGCGUGAGGGAUGACGGCCUUCGGGUUGUAAACCUCUUUCAGUACCGACGAAGCGCAAGUGACGGUAGGUACAGAAGAAGCACCGGCCAACUACGUGCCAGCAGCCGCGGUAAUACGUAGGGUGCGAGCGUUGUCCGGAAUUAUUGGGCGUAAAGGGCUCGUAGGCGGUUUGUCGCGUCGGGAGUGAAAACCAGGUGCUUAACACCUGGCUUGCUUUCGAUACGGGCAGACUAGAGGUAUUCAGGGGAGAACGGAAUUCCUGGUGUAGCGGUGAAAUGCGCAGAUAUCAGGAGGAACACCGGUGGCGAAGGCGGUUCUCUGGGAAUAUCCUGACGCUGAGGAGCGAAAGUGUGGGGAGCGAAC
rnacentral:rRNA from 1 species